UACUAGUCUGUUCCCUAUCAGAUGACCUUCCGACACUACUCGUCUGUUCCCUAUCAGAUGAACAGCGGGAGAAGUGGACAUUGCCGCUGCGUGCUUUGAACGUAAUCUGCACACCUGUCCUGAUCAUCACCUCUCCCCUUCAAAAGCUCUGACCUGACAUCCAUUCCCUGCCGGAUCAUUAGCUAUGAACAUUACUCACCCGGACCAUUUACCCCAUUCCCGCCUGGUCGUCGGAGGAUUCCCCUACCCCAUUGGAUCCACCUAUUUACUCCCAUCAACUCACCUCUGCUGCCCGCUACGCCACCUGGAUAUAUCUACCCAUUCACAUUCACUUGUAAAUAAAUACUC
ensembl:lncRNA